AUACGGAGGGUGCGAGCGUUAUCCGGAAUUACUGGGUUUAAAGGGUGCGUAGGCGGCUUUGUAAGUCAGGAGUGAAAGUUUGCGGCUCAACCGUAAAAUUGCUUCUGAUACUGCAUGGCUAGAAUUAGGAUGAGGUCAGCGGAAUGUGGCAUGUAGCGGUGAAAUGCAUAGAUAUGCCAUAGAACACCAAUUGCGAAGGCAGCUGGCUAGACCUGGAUUGACGCUGAGGCACGAAAGCGUGGGGAGCGAACAGGAUUAGAUACCCUGGUAGUCCACGCCCUAAACGAUGCUUACUCGACGUAUGGCACUAGUUGUUGUGCGUCCAAGGGAAACCGUUAAGUAAGCCACCUGGGGAGUACGACCGCAAGGUUGAA
rnacentral:rRNA from 1 species